UUGCUGAGACUGGGGACAGAAGUGGUCGUGGGGAGGAAAGUCAUGAACGCAGUUUGCACUACAGGCUGGGAAGGGUGUGUGGUGUGUGUGUAACUAUGGUUACCACGGUUACUGUCUGUUACUUUAACCAAGAAAAUGGAAGGCAUCAAGAAUCCAGUCACAACUAGGAUUGCAUGGCAUAAAAAUCAAUUAAAAAGUAUUUCACCUAUUUGG
rnacentral:lncRNA from 10 species